CGCAUCAUGCUUUGGCGCCCUUGAUUCCGAGGCAGCUCCGCACACUCGGAACAUCGAUUUACACAUUAUUUUGUUGAAAAGUAUAUUCCAAACAGUCUCAGUUUUGGUAUAUGAGCAUGGCUGAGCAAGAGAUUAGGACUCGGAACUCAUUUCCUCCUCUUUGGAAAGAGGUUGCUGGCGUCUGCAACACUGCAUUUCAAAAGUUCAAAAAGCGUCCGUCCCAAAACCUAUGCAAGGACUACAACAAACUCAUUAGCCAGAUAUGCGAAGCGCAUGGGCUGGUUUACAACUUGACUGCAUACCAGUGCUCAAACUAUCCUGCCCUUGUUCGAGGUAGCAACUCUACACCUGUUGUUGGCGAAACAGUGGAAAGCACCCAAGUGCUUGUUGUUUACUACCUUCUGCGUGAAUUACUGAAAAAGCAAGUCAACAACGUAAAGUCGACGAUACAGAAGGAUUCCAUAUUAUCAUACUUGGACGCAUAUGAAAAGUACACAGCAGGGGGGAAUGUUGUGAAGUCGAUUUUCACGUAUCUUCACUGGACCUGGCAAAAGAGAGGCCUGCCAGCUGAGCACAUUAUUCAGCCUACGGAAAUUGUUGUCGGUCACUUGUGGAUGGAUGUCAUUUUGACUUCCGAGUUGAAGGAGUCGUUCAGAGCGAAGGUGAACGAAAUUGUCUGCCGUGUCCGAUCAGGCGGCCCGACCAGCGUAGGCGAAAUGGAGAGCGUCAAGCGCUUUUCUCUCAAUCUUGGAUGCUCUACUGACGUCCGGCUGACCCUGUAUUCCUCCGUGGUCGAAGAAACGUAUCUGAAAAGUCUUGCUUCCUUCUAUUGCGCGAAAAGGCCGGGCUUCAAAGCGCUUGGUGUUGUUGAGUACAUCAAUCAAUGCGUCAAGGCCGUGAAAAAGGAGGACGUAUUAGCACGCUGCUUCCUGAUCCGAUCCUCGUACGAGCAAGUGAGCGAAUCUGUUUUGCGAAUUCUCAUUCACGAAGAGAAAAACUAUCUUUUGCCUUUCUGCAAAAAGUGCAUUGAUCCAUCUGAUGGUAACGACCCGUUUUCCAGCAAGAAAUCAUUGUCGGCUCUCUACGAUCUACUCGGCGGUGGCGAAGAGGAGUCGUGGAUGGAGGAUUUGCUGACAGAAACGGUUUCGGAGUACGCUGAUCGGGAGCUCAAGAAGACAAGUGAUUCAUCUGAGGCAUCGUCCAUUUUGCGAAUUUUGAAGAAGGCUCAGCAAACAUUUGAGAUGACGAUUUCCGGUAUUUUUGGUCACCAACCACGUCUCAUUCGGGCUGUUUACGACGGAAUUCAGGCCAAUUUGGCAGCACUCGAAAAGCCAACCGCUACUGAGGAUAAUGCAGCGAAAAUUGCGAAGCGUCUCGCCAAAUACGCAGCUGAAGAAAUUAAGAGCAUGCCCAUUGAUGAACUGCGUCGGACGAACAACUGGAUCGCCGUCAUUUACCGUCUCUGCACUAGGCAGGAUGUAUUUCACCUGUCUUACACUCGGUUUUUGCAAGAGCGCCUCUUGACAAAUAUUUUUGGCACUGGAAAGCAAAGCGAAAUCGCGGUGCGUGAGGAGAGUAUGCUGUCGAGUCUUCUCAUCAAGGACAAGAACUUUGCCUUCAUUUUCAAUUGCAUGCGCAUGCUUAACGACGCCCGCCGAAACGACUCGAAAAGAGCAGAACGAGUGCAGGAGCUGCUGGUGAAGCCAUACAUAUUAACGGCGUUCGCGUGGGGAGAGUCGCGCCGCUCUUCGGAUAUGGGCCGCAGUUCUGUUCCCUUUGAAUUGCAGUCUGUCAUCUCUCACGACAUCGACGCCUACUCUGCGCUGCAAAACGGGCGCAAGCUGCUUUUUUCACCGGAGCACUCUGGCGCUCGUGUGAGAAUGAGCGUUUCAAACAAAGCCGCGUCGUUUUCGCUCCUGGUUUCACUCCUGCAGAUGCGCUACCUGCUCGUAAUGAACAAAAUGAGCGAAUGGUCCGCUGACGAGCUGUGUUCUCAAACCCGCACAAGUCUAGAGGAGUGCAAACGGGCGUUGACGCCUUUUGUACAAACUGGGCUGCUGCAGGAAACAGCACAACAUGUGUUUAAUCUGGAUCCAAACAUUUUAGCGUUACAGAGUGGCGAGGAGAAAAUGUACGACCUCCGCUACAUAGAGCUGGGGUCUCAACAGAGUAAUCCGGAGAAGAACAGCUUUUUUCUGCGCGGAGAAAAAUCUCAUGUUUUAUCGAUUGAAGGUGCUGUUAUGCGGCUGCUGAAAGAACUAGGCCCACUCUCACUGGAUGUCAUAAUUAGUAAAGUUUCUGCUUCAUUGGGUAAGCUAUCGGUGCAGCGAAGGGACAUUAAGAAGGUACUUGAGAAACUUGUUGAGCGCGAAUACGUGGAGCGUAGCGAGGACAACUGUUUUUCAUUUAUUCCUUAAGCGUAUCGUCAACACCAUGGCUUUUACUUUCCUGUCUUUUGCACUUUUUACUCUUGUUUUUGACAAUUGCUUUCCCUUUUUUUUUUUACCACGGCGAUCAGCAAAACAAAGAAAAAGUUCGUGGAUCGCGGACUGUUUCUUGUUCGACUAUGAACGAUUUGCGUGCACCUAGCACCAAAUCCCAUCACAGGGUAGAACAUCCUCGCCAAAGCAAAGCGUGAAUUGUAGAAACUCUUUCGUUCGUACGUACUUCAAGACCAUGAUGAUGGACGACACCUCAGCGUGGUAUCUGGGCCCAGUGCCCACUCUCUCUGUGGGGAA
rnacentral:misc_RNA from 1 species